ensembl:lncRNA
ACUGUAAUGUUCUGUUGCCCCGUCAGGCCCACUGUAAUGUUCUGGUCCCCCGUCAGGCCCACUAUAAUGUUCUGUUGCCCCGUCAGGCCCACUGUAAUAUUCUGUUGCCCCGUCAGGCCCACUGUAAUGUUCUGUUCCCCCGUCAGGCCCACUGUAAUGUUCUGUUGCCCCGUCAGGCCCACUGUAAUGUUCUGUUGCCCCGUCAGGCCCACUGUAAUGUUCUGUUGCCCCGUCAGGCCCAUUAUAAUAUUCUGUUGCACCGUCAGGCCCACUAUAAUGUUCUGGUCCCCCGUCAGGCCCACUAUAAUUUUCUGUGCUAUAACAGUCUGGAGGCUCAGUGGCUGUGAAAUGAGACGAACUAUAGCAGGAUUGGUUGG